rnacentral:rRNA from 1 species
GUGAGGAAUAUUGGUCAAUGGGCGGGAGCCUGAACCAGCCAAGUCGCGUGAAGGAAGAAGGAUCUAUGGUUCGUAAACUUCUUUUGCAGGGGAAUAAAGUGCAGGACGUGUCCUGUUUUGUAUGUACCCUGAGAAUAAGGAUCGGCUAACUCCGUGCCAGCAGCCGCGGUAAUACGGAGGAUCCGAGCGUUAUCCGGAUUUAUUGGGUUUAAAGGGUGCGUAGGUGGUUUGAUAAGUCAGCGGUGAAAGUUUGCAGAUUAACUGUAAAAAUGCCGUUGAAACUGUCGGACUUGAGUGUAAAUGAGGUAGGCGGAAUGCGUGGUGUAGCGGUGAAAUGCAUAGAUAUCACGCAGAACUCCGAUUGCGAAGGCAGCUUACUAAGCUACAACUGACACUGAAGCACGAAAGCGUGGGGAUCAAACAGGAUUAGAUACCCUGGUAGUCC